UCGAGAAUCUUCUGCAAUGGGCGCAAGCCUGACAGAGCGACGCCGCGUGGAGGACGAAGGCCCUCGGGUUGUAAACUCCUGUUACACGUUAUGAAAUGUACGGGUCCACCCGUGCACUGACAAAGGCGUGGGAGAAAGUCACGGCUAACUUCGUGCCAGCAGCCGCGGUAAGACGAAGGUGGCUAGCGUUAUUCGGAUUCACUGGGCAUAAAGCGCGCGUAGGCGGCUCUUCAAGUCGGGGGUGAAAGCCCGCAGCUCAACUGCGGAACUGCCUUCGAUACUGUCGAGCUUGAGUGCAGGAGGGGUGAUCGGAACUCCAGGUGUAGCGGUGAAAUGCGUAGAUAUCUGGAGGAACACCGGAGGCGAAGGCGGAUCACUGGACUGCCACUGACGCUGAGGCGCGAAAGCUAGGGGAGCAAACAGGAUUAGAUACCCUGGUAGUCCUAGCUGUAAACGAUGGGUACUAGGCAGCGGGGGCCCGA
rnacentral:rRNA from 1 species